UACGUAGGGUGCAGGCGUUAAUCGGAAUUACUGGGCGUAAAGCGUGCGCAGGCGGUUUGCUAAGAGAGAUGUGAAAUCCCCGGGCUUAACCUGGGAACUGCGUUUCUAACUGGCAGGCUUGAGUGUGGCAGAGGGGGGUGGAAUUCCACGUGUAGCAGUGAAAUGCGUAGAGAUCGGGAGGAACAUCAGUUGCGAAGGCGGCUCUCUGGACCAGCACUGACACUGAGGCACGAAAGCGUGGGGAGCAAACAGG
rnacentral:rRNA from 1 species